rnacentral:rRNA from 1 species
GACGAACGCUGGCGGCGUGCUUAACACAUGCAAGUCGAGCGGUAAGGCCCUUUCGGGGGUACACGAGCGGCGAACGGGUGAGUAACACGUGGGUGACCUGCCUUUAGCUCUGGGAUAAGCCUGGGAAACCGGGUCUAAUACCGGAUAUGACUCCGCGGCGCAUGUUGUGGGGUGGAAAGCCUUGUGCGGCUGGAGAUGGGCCCGCGGCCUAUCAGCUUGUUGGUGGGGUGAUGGCCUACCAAGGCGACGACGGGUAGCCGGCCUGAGAGGGCGACCGGCCACACUGGGACCGAGACACGGCCCAGACUCCUACGGGAGGCAGCAGUGGGGAAUCUUGCGCAAUGGGCGAAAGCCUGACGCAGCGACGCCGCGUGAGGGAUGACGGCCUCGGUUGUAAC